AGGACCAUAAGAGGAGCUUCCUGGAUCCUGGGUCUGCGUUUAGGCUCUACAGUUUGCUGCUCUGGGGUAGCUCUAAUUUUGCCACUGAGGAGACUCCUUCUGUAUCUCUGUAAAACAGAGAUUACCCUGAGAUGCACCAUCUCCACACUCUGCUUCUGUGGUAGGAGAGGACUUCUGACACCAGGGCUGCACCAGGACCGUGAUGACAGUCUUCAGAAGAAUUUAAAGAGGCAAAAAGCCCCAGCUGCAGCUUCAAGGAAUGGCUCUAAUAAGGUUCCAAGUCAGCCGUGUCAAGAUUUGAACAAGAAUCAAGGAGGAUAAUGGGUCAGAUGUAAUUAAGAGGAGUGGAGUGUCCCACGCAGGAGGAGAGUCCAUCCGCUGAAGCUGCUCUGAUCUGUGGGAUGCGGUUAAACAUCUGCUGGGACUGAGGCUGGGACCAUCAAAGUCACUUAUCUGCUCUUCUUUGAACUCAGACCCAUGAGGCAUCCUUUGAGGCUUUGGAAACCAGCCUGCUCAGGAGUGCAGCACAAGAUGUGCCCCGUGGGCCGGGAGAGGAGCUUUUGGCUUGUCUGGAGGAGAGAGUUGAAAUGAGAACAGCUACCUAACUCUUCACACUUCACUGGCAAGCUCAGCAAGCGCAGUCCCUGUGCAAGAAGAAAAUCCAGGUUCAUGAGAGCCAAGACCUGGGAAAGCGCCUUGAAAAUACCAAUGCUGAUCUGCUUCAUCCACACACAGCCUGUUUCAAAAUUGGCUCCAGCUACAAGGCUUGGGUUUGGAUCUGGGUCCAAAUAUCCCUACAUUUAAGAAAAGAAGCACCCAAGUGGAUUCACAUCAAUAGAGAGGUCACAGCGCACAUGGACUGAGAAGCAGAAACCCCCUCAAACAGCAGGAACUGGGACCACAAAGCCCAGAAUGGAAAAUGUAGAAGGAAGAGUAUGAAAACACGGUCAGCAUAUGUUUCUUCAGAGCAGCAAGACUCUGAGAGCCCAACUCCCACCUAUACCACUCCUCCUCCCACGGCUCCAGGACAAAGGUUUAGCUGUGCCAGAGGUGAGAGAAGAGGUUGUUUGUCUGAGGAGACAAGGGUGUGGUGAAAAGACUUCGUGCCAACCAAGUGAACCAAAACACUAUCUGAGUUACAAAGCAGGCUGGGAAAUAAAAAUUAACUGACAGAAGACCUGGACCCACCUGUGCUGAGAGACAGAGAGAAAGGGAUUUGGCCGUGUACAGCUGCCUGGAGUUCUAACCUAGGAGAUGCUGUUUCCCAGCAUGGGCUAUGUUGCACCUCGUGGCUGAUGUCCAAGCAUCACCCUGUGGAGCAUUGUCCUCUCCCUCUGCAGGAUCAUCACCACAGUUGCAGAGGUUGGAACCUGAUUUAUCCAGAAGCUGGGGAGGACCUCAUCUGGCUCCGGCAGUUCCAAAAGACAGCAAAAGCAGCACAGCUUUCCUCUAACAAAAGCGGUGUAUUCAAGGACAGGUUGCAGGAAGCAGACCCAGAUAAUCAGGCUAGCAGGACCCAUGAUGCUGCUGUUAAAGAGGGCUGAAUUCAGUGUUUGAGCAAGAAAAUAGAAAUCUCCACCUUGAUUGUUCAAGUUCUUCCUUUACCGGAGUUCCUACAGCUACUGGAC